rnacentral:lncRNA from 1 species
UUUAUGCUUUGUUAUCAUUUUCCCCAUAUCCAGUGCUCACAGAGAAGAUGAGAUGUAUUCCAGAAGCCCUCUGCAGGGAACUGUUCUCGCAAGAGGAAGCACUUGAACAGUUAGUACAGAAGGAGACGGGCUCCAUUGGUCAAGGCAUACUGAUCUUCUCUAGGAGCUGGUCUGUGGAUCUGCACUUGCCAAAGAACGAGGAAGUCAUCUGUGAUGCACUUCUGAUUUCCAAGGACAAUCCACCGGUCCUGUACACCUUCCUCAGGAUGGAAGAGGAAUUAGAAAAUGGUUCCACUCUCCACAGGGAACUAGAUGAGAAGAUAAAGGGGUAUUCUUCCCAAACUGCCCAAGUUUAAAGCAGAUGCUUACAAAACUUGGUAAUUAUACUGAGAAAAUAUGUAUCACGACGAAGAUAUUCUGCUUGAACCCUAAGGGAAAAAUAAUUGCCUUUUAUGAUUCAAGUGAGAAAGCAUUUUAUCCUGCGUCCUACUAUGUUGCAACAUUUGAAACCAUGAUAGACCAGCUGAAUGCUCUUUUUAUGGUCUUAAAGAAACUCGGGUCUGUGAGUGAGCAGUGGGCCUCUGAGAUUUUCAAUUAAUAUAGAUCGCUUAUAGGAAAAUUCCCUGAGGAGGUUUAAAUGGUGUCAAGGCCUCAUCCAAAUCAUAGAAGGUGCACUGGGCUACUGAGAAAUUUUUCAUCAUAAAGAGGAUGAUGAUCUCCAAGUCUGAAAAAUGAUCUCCAAAAAUGCUGCAAGCAAAGCAACUUCACCUAAUUGGAAAAAUAAAUGUAGCCUGUGUUUACUUCUUCCUGAGCCUUUGGGGAUUAUGAUUUGGGAGAUUUUAGAAUUCAAGUGUUCCAGACUCGGAACAUAUGUAAAAAGAUUUUUACAUAUGUAAAAAGAUUAUGCUUAAGGGUGAUUAGGAAACUUAAUCAGUUCACUAUUCUGUGCACGAUGGUUAUUUACUCGGUUCCUGGUUCAUGGAUAGACUUUGUUCCAUUUUUGGAUCAGGACAGACUGCUGACCCUUAACAAGAAUGAGAACUGUCCAGGACCUACUCAUAGAACUUUGUAACUUGGAAAAUAUCAUUGUUGAUGAAAGUCAUAAUUUCCCCAGUGGGAAUGAAAAAGAAGGGAAAUGUCAUCUCCCCCAAAGAAAGACCCCAGGAAUUCUUUAGGUCUUCUUGGACUACUUUACCUCUGCUCACUUGGAGGAGUCGAAACUUUCCUGAUCACUCUCGUAGCACCCUUAAAUACUCACCCGAAAAGUUAUUUUUCUACAAAUGGUUCUGAAUAAAGAAUGUGAGUGGAUGAAAUCCUACAAAAGCUCUCUCACUCAUCUCUGGGGGAAAGCAGCUGAAGGAAGUAGAAACCCUCACCGAUAUGGAAAGAUUCCAUAAGAAGAGGAGCACCAGGGUUUGGCGUUUCUCCCUCAUCAAAGAUGAGCUAGGGACUGUCCUGAAUCCAGUGGAGCCAGAUACAUCCUGGCUGCGGUGUUCUGAGUCCACGUCCAGGAGGCUCAGUGGGUCCUUGGAACAGAGAAUAGAGCUGGGAGCCCCGCAAGGCGCAGUUGAGAGGAGAGGAGCAAGGCCCUCAGAAUUCUGAGAAGAAGUAAACAUUACACAGACCAAAUUUACAAGCCACGUUGUCGUUUGAAUGUAAAAGAUAAUGACCUGUGCUGGUCAUUAUCCUGAAAGACGUAAUCCCAAACUCCAUCAUUGCAAAUGUUUAAAUCCCAAAAGAUCAAAAUGCCGAGUCUGGAACACUUGAAUUCUAAAAUCUCCCAAAUCAUAAUCCCCAAAGGCUCAAAUCUCCAAUGGUGAAAUUCUAAAAAGUUCCAAUUCCCAAAACCACAAAUCCCUGAAAAAAAAGAGGCCAUUUAGAGGGACGGGAAGCUGAAUUCUGGGGAAGUGACUGGCCACGGGUCAAGGCGGUGUGUCAAGGCAACAGUGACAACUUCAAUGUAAAUGUGUCAUGGUGUGCACUGACGUUCCCUCCUGAUGAUGAAACUCCAGGAGCUUAUGUUGAGUUCAAGUCAUGUUUGCCUGAAGGAGCCAGAGAGGUUACUGACUUGUGUAAUAUGGACACCAGCACCGUAUGAUAAGAAGACGCUAUGCAUGUUACUGUUCCGGUCACUGUAUUGUUCCUGCAAUCCUUGGUCUGUAUGGGAACGCAUGUGGGAUAGGUUUCCACGUCUCCAAAACACAGCACGGAGGUUGCGAAUAUUUCAUAGGAAUUGCUUGCGUCAGUAUUUAUCGAACAUGCAACAGUUUUGAAAGGAGCAGUGCCAUGAAGGAAAUGGACGUCAAUGUGUUCUCUCAGGAGAGCCAAGUCCUAAAGCUCAAAAGCAGCCAUUCAUGGCAGUCAGUGCUUCACAGUAAACCAGGCUCGCUGACACCCACCUGUUAUCCCAGUGACUUGGGAGGCUGAGGCAGGAGGAUUGUGAGUUCAAAGCCAGCCUCAGCAAAAGCGAGGCGCUAAGCAACUCAGUGAGACCCUGUCUCUAAAUACAAAAUAGGGCUGGGGAUGUGGCACAGUAGUUGAGUGCCCCUGAGUUUAAUGGCCGGUACACCCCCAUCUAUCUAUCUAUCUAUCUAUCUAUCUAUCUAUCUAUCUAUCUAUCAUCUAUCGUUAAUGAGCUGGAGGCCUGAGGUUCAACCAGAUUUUAUGGAGUUGGAGUACAGUCGUGCAUACAAUGUAUCCCUUUAAUGCACAGUCAUACGAUGAGUUUAAUUAAUCUUUUUUUUCUAUGUUUGAGCAUUUUCUCUUCAUAUCAUUUCCAGUACUGGAAAUAUAGAUGUGUAAUGACUUUUAGAGAGUCCAAUUUUGUUUCUGCACUUUUGCAAAUUGGACUCCAUGAAAGUACAUUACCAUAGCGUUGUGUUGACUUUCUACAGAAUUAUUGUGCGUAUAGAUAAAAAUGGCGAAACUCCCUCCAUAAGUGAAAGUCUUUCUGGUAGAUCUGGGAUUGGAAGGAUAAAAUUAUAAAGAUUCCAGUUCUUGGGUGGUUUUAGAGACAGCGGUGACUCUCCUGGUUUUGAUCAGGCUCAUCAGUAGAUUUGGGUUAUCCUUCAUCGAAUUCGGGUGACUGCAGUAAAAAAUUGAUGUGGACACAGUUGCCAAUCUGAGUGGUCCACAUUUGUAUGUGUCGUUGUCGGAAGUAUUUCUUUUGGAUACAGUGAAUCUGCUGAGAAUUGUUAUGCAAAUGCAACUAUCUUUUGGACCCUUGAGGGUUCAUCAUUACCCUGAGGUAAUUUCAUACUCAAGAAGAGAGAAGUGAGAAAAAGGCCUCCCACCAACACCAGUGUCUGUCACGGGAAUUGCAUGGUUAUGUCUUUGAGAUGAGACUGGAGCUCUUCUCCUCCCAGUUCAUGAAUGGUGAUUCAGAGGAAGGACAUCUGCAGCCUGAGGACUGAGAGGAAUGAGGAUGGACUCUGAUCCAGGUACGAGGGAGAAAGCGCCACCCUGCUUGUCCUUUCUCCCUCUUUGUGGCUUCUGGGUCCUUUAGUCUUUGUGACUUGGAGCUCCUCCUACCUCCUGCAGUUUGCUAUCUCCAAAUGUCCUUGAUCUUCAUAAAUGGACAAGUUUUAUUGGGAGGAUGAGGAAAAGCCAAAUAAAAUAUUUGGUGAAUGAUGAUUUUCCGCAAGAGAAGAAAUAGAGAGAAAUGUCUGAGGGGGAUCCCGUGUUGAACUCUACAUUUCUUAGCUUCUUUUCCUUGGAGUUGGCUGGAGCAUCAGAAUAAUGACUAGCUUGUGCCUCAGUCUAGCAGGAGACCAACUCUGGGAGGCAAGAGCCAAUGCUGGGUCAGGGGUGUUUCCAAAGGGCUUGGAGGAAAUGCAAGGCCAUAAAACACACUGUGAUUAGAAUUUUAGGAGAGCACUUUAAGUUAUAGUACAGUUCCAGCAAAGAACUUCAAAGGUACAAGAGGGAGCUUUAUACUGAGUGGGGCAAUAGGACUGGAGAUUCAAAAGAAAGUCUCUUCAUGAUGGAUCUUUGGGGACCUGGGUGUAGGGUCAAGAAAGAUUGAUGAGUCUCAUCUGCUGGCCUUCAUUACACCAGGGGAAGUGAAAUUGAGAUACACCUUGGUCUGGCCUCUUCUAGUGAGGAGGGGUGAAAUCACCUAAAUUGAGAUGUUUUCUUCUUUCAGGGUGGUCUGAAACUUUUGAAUCUCAGCUGAGUCUGUCCCAGUGUCUUCCAUGUUGCAGACUACUGUCUUCAAGAAAGGUCUAGAACAGAAAGCCAAUUUUCAAUUUUCUUUCCAGGUGUUAGCUGCCAGUUUACUUUAGGAGAGAGGGAGAUAGUUUAAAACAUUGAUUUAUAAAUUGAUGAAAAAUUUGUACUGCAACCCAGGUGUAUCAAGAGGCAAUGUCACAAGCCUGUUGGGGAAUGAGUUUCAGCUGCCUUUAGAAAUCAUCCAUUUUUGUGCUUGCAAAACCCAGCUGAUUGUCAGAAAUGGUAGAGGAGGUAGUUAAACACACAGGUAGAUGUCCCUACUCCACCAAGAACUUGUCCACAUAUGACUUCCAGCUAUGAGGCCUAAACAUGUGCACGUAAGCAAGCUUCUCAAAGGAUUCUGAUGCUCUUCCCAUGUUGGAACCACUGAUUUAGACACGGUAGGGAGAGCGUUAGACUGGAGGACAUGGUGGGUUAAUUGACUUCCUCUUCUCAGCUUCUCAGGUAUAUAGGAGAUACACCUAUAGAAAGAGUACAGACAUUCAGCUCAUAGAAUAUGAAAGGAGAGACCAUGAGUAAUUUCUCUUGGAAAAAUCACCAAGGUCCCGAUGGACUACAAUAUAAUCAUUCAAGAUCAGGUGCAAUGUUAGAUGACCUUUCCCACCCCUGCCCCUGACUUUUUUCACCUAGAUUUUGUCUAGGAAUUGUUACUUAGAAAAGGAAGUGUAGAUGUUUGAGGAGGGAAAUGUGUUUUUUACCUUCACAUAUUGAACCUUUUCAGUGUGAGAUGCGACAGCAUGUGACAUAGGCAUGUCUUAUGUAUAUCCAAACUUGUGUCAAGGGUCAGGUAAUUAGAAUAUUAGGACUCCUGUAGUUGCACCUUCAAGAAAAUAUUUUAUUUACCUGAAAUCUUUCUAGUCCUUAACAAAAAGGUGUUUAAACAUUCCACAACGAGGAUCUGAGAUUGAAGAGUGAUUGCAUAUCUGGUUUUCACUUCCUUGGGCUCAACAAAUUCCAUUUAUUUGGCACAAGUGCUCUCUAUGAGAUAAUAGAAAAACAACAUCGUUCUUUUCACCAGAUUUUUAGGAUACAGAUUGAGGAGAGGUGACCCAGAGGGAAAUUCUCUUAUGUUGUAUUACGGGAGCUUUAUUCUUUUUUUGAAGUGUUAACUGAGACUGAUACAAAACAAUACCAACACAUUUUAUAAUCUCUGAUGUUUUCAUUCUAGAACCACCAGGAUGUUCCUGAUAUCGUGCCAAAUUCUCCUGGAAUUUGGCAUGAAGGACCGGAGGGGAUAAAAAGUCAGCAAAUGCAUCCUCCUCCCAGGGAAUUCUGAAAUUCUCUAGAAGCAGGGCUGUGGACCUGGACUUGCAAGCCAAGCAGGGAGUCAUCUGGGAUUCUCUGCUGAUCCCACUGAGCAGCAUCUCCGUCCUCUGCAUUGUCCUCCGGGAGCAGGAUGCAGAAGGGUAGGUCUCCUUGCACCCACUUCCUCUUUCCCUGAAGUAGAAGCUGGUGAACAUGGGCAGAAUAACGGGAAAAGUUUGUGUCAUUACCAGGGUCUUCUACCUGAGAUCUGAGAGCCAUGCAGAGUGCAUGGAAGGAACAAUUCCUCUGGUCCUGUUAUCUUGCAGACACCCAGGAUUGUCUUGAGAUGCUCCAUUUCUGUCUUGAGCUUGGCCGUGAGAUUUUAAAUUUGCUAACCAGCUCUGCCACGCGACCAGUGCUGGCUUCGUGAAAGAAGGUUUGGUUCAUAAGUAAUUGCUAGGGAGUUUAAAAUUAAAGAGACAAGACUCUCAUUAAUACCAGCUUUAAUACCAGCUCCAAGAUGGCUUCUCCUAGCUCCUGCCCCUCCAGCCACCUAAUGCGGUGGUGAGGUUUACAGAAGAGACUAGCGAGAGAGGGAGAACACGCCAGGGAGUGGGCUUUUAUUGGGGAACAAAAAAUUCCAGGGAAAAUCCCAUCCAAUGAAGGUUAAGGGGGGCAGCAUCCCAAGGUCAAGAUUUGGUCUUCAGGGCAGUGGCCAGGCACGCCUCUGCACUGACAAGCCCUCAGACCUGGGACAGGGUGGGGAAGGCUCAGACACAGCUGUGUCUAAGUGCCUCUCACCCAGCCAGGGAGGUAACUCAAAUCACGUGCGAGGAUGGCCUCCCACAACCAGCCUCUGAAGAACUUCAUCUGGUAAGCAGCUGGAUCUCAUACCUAUAUGUGUUAUUUAAUCAGGGAUUAUUUUUCUGCUAAGCCAACUUGUUGCUUGAGAAUUACAUGGUGAAAUGAUUUGUGACAACGGUACCAUAUUCAGGGGAGCACAAAAGAGUGAUUUUUCUCCUUUAUAAAGUGAAGAAAACCUGAGUGUGUCAUUUUCUUGUUACAGUAAUAAAAGGAUCUGUGAGGCAGUGUCCCGGAAAACCUUCAUGAAGAGGGACUUUGAAGACAUUCAACACAUCACUGUGGAUGAAGCUCAGAAUUUCCACACUGAAAAUGGGGACUUAUAUGGGAAGGCAAAAGCCGUCACUCAGAGGGAAAAGGAAGUCCAGAAAUUCUCUGGAACUUUCUGAACCAUUUUCAGACCAGCCGCUUGGAUGUUAGCGGUCUCCCUCCUCUUUCAUCCCAGUAGCUAAGAGCUCACCAGAGUGAUCCCCAAUGCAGAUGAAGUCGCCCAAUACCUACCAGAAGUGAUGAAGGUCAUUAGAAGAAAACCACCAUGCAACAUCCCCCAUGGGUCCUUGGAGGUGCUUAUGAAAGCCGAACAACUUCGGGGUUCUAAGGAACUAUGCCAAUUGAGAGAGAGAUUAGAAAUGUGAGCCACUGCAUCUGCAUUUUUUCCUGAAUUCUUGAAAUUUGUCUUUGCUCUAUUGAUUCAGGACAUGGAAGAUUCCCGAGAUAAUUCAGUCACUGAAUUAUCUCAAGCAUUUUGGCAGAACAAAGAGCACUGGUAUGGAUAUGUAAGGUACUUCAGUUGCCCUUUUUCAGAGAAAUUUUAGACCAAGAGAAAGCACACAUACACACCUCUUUUUUUUUUUCUGGAUUUCAACAGGAGAUUGUAUUAUGGAACAGAAUCAGAUUCUACAGGUGUGUAUAAGCUCCUAAGGAACAGGAAUAGGAAAGAAAGUCUUUUAAAAUCUACAAGUCUUCUGGGGAUGUCACUUUGUGGUAGGUUCUUACCAAGCAUGCCUCUGGUCCUGGGUUAGACUCACGUGGACACAUCCCAACAUCAAUAGCCUUGAAAUGACGAAUUCUCAUCUCAGUUCUACUUACUAAUGUAUAACAUAGCUACUGAAGUAUUAAUUCGAUCUUUUUUUUUUUACCAUUUUUAUUAAGAAUUUUUCAUUUGUUAUUUUUAGUUGUAUAGGACAGUAGAGUGUAUUUUGACACAUUAUACAUAAGUAGGGAGGGAAGAAUAAAAGUAUUGACUCAUCCUUAAACUGUGAUUGUCCUUCUCUUUCAUA